rnacentral:rRNA from 1 species
AGAGUUUGAUCCUGGCUCAGGAUAAACGCUGGUGGCGUGCUUUAUGCAUGCAAGUCGAACGGUCCCGAUUUAUCGGGAUAGUGGCGAAUGGGUGAGUAAUGCGUAAGUAACCUGCCCCUAAGUAGGGGAUAACUCUGAGAAAUCGGAGCUAAUACCGUAUGUGGUGGUGGAGGUAAUGCUUCAUCACUAAAGCCUUAGGGCGCUUGGGGAGGGGCUUGCGUCCGAUUAGCUAGUUGGUAGAGUAACGGUCUACCAAGGCGGUGAUCGGUAGCUGGUCUGAGAGGAUGGUCAGCCACACUGGGACUGAGACACGGCCCAGACUCCUACGGGAGGCAGCAGCAAGGAAUAUUGUGCAAUGGGCGAAAGCCUGACACAGCGACGCCGCGUGGGGGAUGAAGGCCUUCGGGUUGUAAACCCCUUUUCUCAGGGAGGAAUAAUGACAGUACCUGAGGAAUAAGUCAUGGCUAACUACGUGCCAGCAGCCGCGGUAAAACGUAGGUGGCGAGCGUUAUCCGGAUUUACUGGGCGUAAAGAGGGCGCAGGCGGCUUUUCAAGUCGGAUGUAAAAUCUCCCGGCCUAACUGGGAGGGAUCAUUCGAUACUGUUAAGCUAGAGUGCAAUAGGGGGAGGUAGAAUUCCCGGUGUAGUGGUGAAAUGCGUAGAUAUCGGGAGGAAUACCAGUAGCGAAGGCGGCCUCCUGGGUUGUUACUGACGCUGAUGCCCGAAGGUGUGGGGAGCAAACAGGAUUAGAUACCCUGGUAGUCC